AUGCAUCUCUGACAGACCUGAAGCAGUUCAUGUCUGCUGCUAAGGUUUCCACUACAGAGGCAAGAAAAAGACAGUCCUGCACGCUUUCUGUCUGGUUGUGGCAGCCAAGAUUGAAUGGGGGAAUACAGGA
rnacentral:snoRNA from 1 species